rnacentral:rRNA from 1 species
UACGUAGGUGGCAAGCGUUGUCCGGAUUUAUUGGGUUUAAAGGGUGCGUAGGCGGUCUAUUAAGUCAGUGGUGAAAUACUCCAGCUUAACUGGAGGGGUGCCAUUGAUACUGAUGGACUUGAGUGAAGUCGAGGUAGGCGGAAUUGACGGUGUAGCGGUGAAAUGCUUAGAUAUCGUUAAGAACACCAAUAGUGAAGACAGCUUACUAGGCUUAUACUGACGCUGAGGCACGAAAGUGUGGGGAUCAAACAGG